UACAGAGGUCUCAAGCGUUGUUCGGAUUCAUUGGGCGUAAAGGGUGUGUAGGUGGCGCCGUAAGUCGGGUGUGAAAUUUCGGAGCUUAACUCCGAAACUGCAUUCGAUACUGCGGUGCUUGAGGACUGGAGAGGAGACUGGAAUUCAUGGUGUAGCAGUAGAAAUGCGUAGAGAUCAUGAGGAAGACCAGUGGCGAAGUCGGGUCUCUGGACAGUUCCUGACACUGAGACACGAAGGCCAGGGGAGCAAACGGG
rnacentral:rRNA from 1 species